AGCGAACGCUGGCGGCAGGCUUAACACAUGCAAGUCGAGCGGGCACUUUCGGGUGUCAGCGGCGGACGGGUGAGUAACGCGUGGGAACGUGCCCUCUGGUUCGGAAUAACUCAGGGAAACUUGAGCUAAUACCGGAUACGCCCUUUUGGGGAAAGGCUUGCUGCCGGAGGAUCGGCCCGCGUCUGAUUAGCUAGUUGGUGAGGUAACGGCUCACCAAGGCGACGAUCAGUAGCUGGUCUGAGAGGAUGAUCAGCCACACUGGGACUGAGACACGGCCCAGACUCCUACGGGAGGCAGCAGAGGGGAAUAUUGGACAAUGGGCGCAAGCCUGAUCCAGCCAUGCCGCGUGAGUGAUGAAGGCCUUAGGGUUGUAAAGCUCUUUUAUCCGGGACGAUAAUGACGGUACCGGAGGAAAAAGCCCCGGCUAACUUCGUG
rnacentral:rRNA from 1 species